rnacentral:rRNA from 1 species
CGUUGACGGGGGGCACCCUGACCGCGAUGCCGCGUGAGUGAAGAAGGCCCUCGGGUCGUAAAGCUCUUUGGGCCGGGACGAAGUACGUGUGGUUAAUACCCACGCGUAUUGACGGUACCGGCAGAACAAGCACCGGCAAACCCUGUGCCAGCAGCCGCGGUAAUACAGGGGGUGCGAGCGUUAAUCGGAAUUACUGGGUGUAAAGGGCGCGUAGGCGGCAAUAUAAGUGCGAUGUGAAAGCCCCGGGCUUAACCUGGGAAGAGCAUUGCAUACUGUGAUGCUGGAGUACAUGAGAGGGUGGCGGAAUUUCCGGUGUAGCGGUGAAAGGCGGGGAGAUCGGAAGGAACGUCAAUGGCGAAGGCAGCCACCUGGCAUGAUACUGACGCUGAGGCGCGAAAG